GCACAAACACACUGGACUCUAACAAUCAUUUACAAACUGAAUUGGAACAGUAAACCUGAAACUCCAGUUGAACGGGCACAUUGUUGUUUCUGUUUGCCUGCAUGUGGAACUCUGUGUGUCGGUCAAUGAUCUGAAGAGUUGAUUACCUUUAUCAGGACAUUCUCAAAGCUGGUGGGGUUGGUCACGUCGAAGCAGACCAGGAUCAGGUCGGCCUCUUGGACACAAUGGCCUGAGCUUCAAGAUGCAACAUGUGUUACAAAGUCUGAGACGAGGAAUAAAACCACAUCCUGGCCUCAGCUUCCUUUUCCGCUGAUGUAAAGCACCCUGCUUCUCUUAUACUAAAGAUAAGGUGUCAAGACGUACUGUCAUGGGUUUUCCUGAACAUGAAAUGACUUUAAAACACGUAUCUUCUAUGGAAAAUUCAUGUUUUAUGUCCCACAGAGACACGUCAUGUUGUGAAAUGAGUGGAAAUUUUGUCUUUACCUAGUUUUUUUAACCACUAAUAAAACAAAAGACUGUUUUCUCAA